rnacentral:lncRNA from 1 species
GCCGCCCUAAAGAGCAUAAUGGAGAAGGACUCCAGAGGACGUGGAGGAGAGUGCUGCUCCCCAGGGAGAAGGGCAUCGAUCAAGAGCCACUUCCUGCUCUCUGGACCGCGAGGGUGCAGCAAGGAGACAGAAUAAGCAAAAGCACGCCGCAGCUUCACCCCCGCAGCCCCGAGCGCGGAAGCUGGCAGUGCCGCAGGGCUUGGCACCAGCGUCACGUCAGGCAGGUGAGGAAUCCCCGUGCUCCACGUCACUGGGUGACAGGAACUUCUUUGGUCCAUUACAACCCUAUGGGACCAUUGCCGCAUGUGGAGUCUGUCUGUGAGACUAACCGAGCAGAUUUAAAUGGUGACGCCAGCGCCAUGUGGCUUCAGUGACAAGGCUCAAGUCACUCACUGACUGCGGCAGAGUUCACUGCGCAUGGACUGGGCUGAGAGGACGUGAACCGCUCUGGGCCCGCUCCCCGCCUGUGAGCUUUGGAGACUGGAGUGACCCACAGGUCCUUCCUGGCGGUGAUGUGCUGGAGUGGAGUUGUGUCUCCGCCUUGCCCUCGAGUCUCGCAUUAGGCCUCCUUCACUUCGGACGGAGACCGGGGCCCUGAGACAUCUGAUUUCGUGACCCUGCUGUCCGUGACCAGCAC